CACUCGGAGCUUUGUAUUGACCCUGUUCAGCCCCCCCAAAUUCCCGGGUUUCCCCCUUUUUUGGGGUCCCCUCCCCCUUUUUUCCCAUUUUUUUCCCUUUUUUUCCCAUUUUUUCCCCUUUUUUUCCCAUUUUUCCCUCUUUUUUCCCCAUUUUGGGGGUCUCCUCCCCCUUUUUUCCCCUCAAUUUGGGGAAUAUUUGGGGGGGGUUCUUUACUGCCUCCCCCUCCCCGUGUUUUUGGGACCCCUCCCCCACCCUUAAGCACCCCCUUUUUGGGGAAGGGGGGGUCCCACCCCUUUUUCCUCAUUUUCCCCCUUUUUUCCUCAUUUUUCCCUUUUUUCCUCAUUUUGUCCUCAAUUUUCCCACACUUUCCCCACUUUUCCCUUCAAUUUUCCCACUUUUUCCCCUUCCCCCCUUUUUUUUCUCCUUUUUUUCCUCCGUUUUCCCCCUUUUUCUUUUUUCCCCAUUUUUCUUCCCCCCUUUUUUCCAUUUUCCCCCCUUUUUUCCCCAUUUUCCCCCUCUCUUCCCCCCAUUUUUUUCUCUUUAUUUUCUCCCUUUUCCCCCCACUUUCCCCCAUUUCCCCCCGUUUUUUCCCCCCUCUUAUUUCCCCCAAUUUCCCCCCACUUUCACCCUUUUUUUUCCCCAUUUUUUCCCAUUUUCCCCCAUUUUUCCCCCAUUUCCAGGGGGCUUUCCUCCCUCUGUACAUAGCCGUGAUUUGCACUUGGUUUGGCCCCUUUUUACCCCCCAAAACCCCCAAAAACCCCUUUAAUUUCCCAUUUCUUUUCACGGGGGAGGGGUUCAGGGGGGUUUUUUUGGGGGAAAACCCCCAAAAUUUCCUGUUUAGAGGCCUAAUUUUAUAUUGUAUUAAAAACCAAAAGGGCCCGGGAGUUCUCCCUGGCAGAGCUGUAAAAGUUGGGAUAUAUAUUAUAUAUAAAUGCAAUAAAAUGACUCAACGAGCCCCAGACUCCCCAAAAUUUCUCUCCCACCCCCCCCAAACCUUCCCCUUUUUAUUUUUUUUUUUUUUUGCCCGUUUUCCCCGGAUUUUCCCCCAAAAACCCUGGCACAGAGCAGCUUUUUUCCAUCUUUAUCGAUACACAGUCAGCACGGUCUGGGGGAGGGGAUUUGGGGAGGGGAUUUGGGGUGGGGGAGGGAAUUUGGGGUGGGGGGACCCCCAAAACCCAUCCCGACGUUGGGGGGGGUCAAAAAUAUCAAUUUUUAACCAAAUCCAGCGUUUUUCACAGAGAUUUGGGGACAAUAAAUAA
rnacentral:lncRNA from 1 species